CUUUUUCCAUCCCCUCACUUUCCAUCUGUGUGUGUCUUUAGAUCUGAAGUGAGUUUCUCGUAGGCAGCAUAUUUAUAGGUCUUGAUUAUUGUAUCCAUUCAGCCACUCUCUUUUGAUUGAGCAUUUAGUCCGUUUACAUUUAAAAUGACUAUUGAUGUAUAUGUUCUUACUGACAUUUUGUUAAUUGUUUUGGAUUUGUUCUUGUAGGCCUUUUUUGUUCCUUUUGUCUUUAGU